rnacentral:rRNA from 1 species
GACGUAGGGCGCGAGCGUUGUCCGGAUUUAUUGGGCGUAAAGAGCUCGUAGGCGGCUUGUCGCGUCGAAUGUGAAAAACCCACGGCUCAACUGUGGGCUUGCAUUCGAUACGGGCAGGCUAGAGUUCGGUAGGGGAGACUGGAAUUCCUGGUGUAGCGGUGAAAUGCGCAGAUAUCAGGAGGAACACCGGUGGCGAAGGCGGGGUCUCUG